CCUGGCGGCAGUAGCGCGGUGGUCCCACCUGACCCCAUGCCGAACUCAGAAGUGAAACGCCGUAGCGCCG
rnacentral:rRNA from 1 species